UGAUCACAGCCGUUCGUUUCGUUUUAAUCUGGGCCGUUCGUUUUUUAUUGAAUCUGGGCCGUCCGUGCGUUUGAAUCUGGGCCGUCCGAUCGCGUGAUUGAUCUGGGCCGUCGGAUCGCACCCACGCGGAUCGCCAACGUGGCUCCUUUCGGAGUGACGUGAUCUUGCCACGUGGCAGGCCCUGGUUGGCCGGGACUGCUGACCGAGCCUGCUGAC
rnacentral:lncRNA from 1 species